UCCUGAAGAUCACAGCUACUUCCCUGAAGAGCAGGGUGAACCCAGCUGAGGCCCAGCUCGCAGGAAGAAGUGGGGGGCGGAAGGCACUGGGAGAGAGGGGAGGUGUGGGUGUUUAGGGACAGCACUCGGCUCCAAAGAAGGCUGGGAUUUGAAGGCUGAGCCAGGAUCCCUUGCUCCGCUUGGGCGCCGGCUGACUGUGGUCUAAGCUCCUUUGGUUUGUGGCUGCGUUGUUCCAGUACCUGCUUCCGUGGUGGCCUCGCUGUCUGUUUCUCCGUGUCUUCUCCCCAGUGUGCUCGCUUACAAGGACACAGGGACUGCACUCUGGGCCCACCUGGGAAAUCCGAGAGAAGCUCCUGCUCUCAGAAUCCUUCACGUAAUCACAUACUUUGCCAUGUAAGGUCAUAUUCCCUCUGUUGCCAUAUAAGGCACCAUCCGCAGGUUCCAGGGAUCAGGACAUGGACAUAACUCUCUGCGGGCCACCGUUCAACCCACGACAACCCCCUAGAGCCUCUGGAAGGCACAGCCCUGCCCACACCCCGGCGUUGGCCCUGUGAGACUCGUUUUGGACUUCUGAACUCCAGAACGGUGAGAGAAUAAAUGUGUCAUUUUAAACCACGA